UACGUAGGGGGCAAGCGUUAUCCGGAUUUAUUGGGCGUAAAGCGCGUGUAGGCGGCCCAGCAGGUCAGCUGUGAAAACUCGAGGCUCAACCUCGAGACGUCGGUUGAAACCGUUUGGCUAGAGUCCGGAAGAGGAGAGUGGAAUUCCCGGUGUAGCGGUGAAAUGCGCAGAUAUCGGGAAGAACACCCGUGGCGAAGGCGGCUCUCUGGGACGGUACUGACGCUGAGACGCGAAAGCGUGGGGAGCGAACAGG
rnacentral:rRNA from 1 species